CUUCCCUCCUUCCCUCCCUUCUCCCCAUCCCCAUCCACGGAUCCAUCCUAUGGACCCCAUCCUAUGUGUCCCUGAAGACCCCCGAGUGGCAUAGCAUUCGUUUGCAUGUGUGUGGCAUUGGCAGGGGAGUCUGGGCAGGGGGUGGUCAGUGCAAUGACUUGGGCCUGAAAGAAUGAGGUUUUGGUGGUGAGCUCUUCCCCUGUGGAGCUGAAUGUGCAGCCGUGUGUUUUGUUCACGGCUUCCUGCGUCUGCCCUCUAGAGGCCCACAGAAGCCUCGCACCUCCCCAGCCCGGCGUCUGCGGGUGAAUUGUCUGAGCAGGAGCACAACAGCUUAAGCUUCAUGUUCUCCGGGCCCAGUACUUAGACGCAGUGAGUGAAGAGACACUUGGUCCCGGGCCCCCUUCUCUGCACACACUGCCCUGUGUGCUACAGCAUGCCAGGCAGGGUGCCAGGACAGCAGGCCCGUGAAGACCAUGGCGGCGGCUGUCUGAAGACCAGCUCACAGCAGGAGCUGCGCUGAGAUCUUCUCCUGGGUGCUCAUGCUGGGGCCCGAGGUCGUAUGGAAAAGGCUUGUCCCCCUUGCUGGAUGUCACAAGGCUCAGCCACGUGGAUAGAAGCUGCUUGGAUGACCACAUUAAGUGAAUGGCCGCAUCUGUGCACUGGCUCUGCAGCCCUGGGCAGCGACACAGAGACAGCAAGCAGAGCAUCCAUCACCAGGAUUCUCAGGCAGGUGUUACACCAGAGCUCAUGCGUGUCUGGCCCCAGGCUCUGAGCUGUGGCGCAUUCUUCUUGCACAUGCCCUGUAGGCCGGGUGAAAUGUUGUCACUGAAGGUGAGCUAGGAAGUCACAGGGCAGGUUUCACAAGAGACACAUCACAAAGACCCUGCUCAUAAAACAGGAUGUGGGAGAGAAGCCAGCCAAAACCAAGAUGGUGGCAAAAGAAACCUCUGUUCAUUAUACACUAAUCAUAAUGCAUUUGCAUAUGCUCAAUGACGUGCCUGGCAGCACCAAGACAGUUUACAGACGCCAUGGCAACGUCUGGAAGUUACCCUAUGGGGUCUGAAGUGGGGAGGAAUUCUCAGUUCUUGGGGAAUUCCCUGCCUUUUUCCCAGAAAACUCAUGAAUAAUCCACCUGUUGUUCGGCAUAUAAUCAAGAAAUAACCAUAAAAAUAGCCACCCUUUUAUUCCUGUGCGGUAACCACCCAUUUAUUUCUUUACUUUCUUGAUUAACCUGAUUUCACUCUGUCCUCUUGCUCUUUUUUUUUUUUUGAGACAGAGUCUCGCCCUGUCACCAGGCUGGAGUG
rnacentral:lncRNA from 1 species